rnacentral:rRNA from 2 species
CCGCGAUCCCAGGUCAGGCGGGAACACCCGCUGAAUUUAA